GACGAACGCUGGCGGCGUGCUUAACACAUGCAAGUCGAACGAAGUGGCGAACGGGUUAGUAACGCGUAAUCAACCUGCCCUUCAGAGGGGUACAACAGUUGGAAACGACUGCUAAUACCUCAUACUGAAGUUGGGGAUUGCGUUUGAUUCGCUAGUUGGAGGGGUAACGGCCCACCAAGGCGAUGAUCAGUAGCCGGGCUGAGAGGAGGAACGGCCAAAUUGGGACUGAGACACGGCCCAGACUCCGACGGGAGGCAGCAGGGGGAAAUCUGCCGAAAUGGAGGAAAGUCUGACGGAGCAACGCCGCGGGAGUGAUGACGGCCUUCGGGUUGUAAAGCUAUGUUAAUCGGGACGCGGUACCGGAAUAGAAAGCAACGGCUAACUACGUGCCAGCAGCCGCGGUAAUUC
rnacentral:rRNA from 1 species